rnacentral:lncRNA from 1 species
AGAACCAAAGUAAUAAUGUUCAGUUCAAUUAUACAGUCCAAAAUAGAAAAAUUGUGAAAAAUAUAAAUCAUAUUCUAUACUAGUCCUAGACUAAGCUCCAAUGUUUUACCCGACGCCGUGGGCCUUCAUCACGAUCAUCUUCUGCCAACAUGAUAUGUCAGGGCAUUCCCCGAUGAAUAAAUACAGUAAGACUCGGGGCAUUCCCCGACUAAAUGAAUACAUUUGAGUUAAAUACGAUAAACUAGAAACAAACAUUCACACACACAUUUAAAUAUUCAAUAAACACAUCACUCCUAAAUUUUUGCCUACCCAAACCUAUAUUACCUAUCCAUUUCAACAUGUCAUAAAUCUCUCAC